CUUAUCUCCAUUUCAACGGGACGAUUCUGGACCGCAGUGAUCACAGCCCCCCUUUCCCUCACUGAGACUUACCAGAAGGGACUCUGCACAGGGAAAGGCUCAUUGGUGGGGCUGCCUGGGAGAACUCCCAAGACACACAGGUGGAGCCUUUCCCGAAGGGAUAGGCCAAGUAUGGAGCAAUUAUCUCGCGUCUUCAUCCAUCAUCGGAAAUCCUAACUGAAGCUUUUGAGCCGAUUUCCAAAGCUUUAUGGGAGGAGCCCAGGGACGCAAGCGAGAGCCUCUGCAAGUCACCCCAGCUGCCGCGUUUCCACCCAGGAGGAAGACGCACGUGGGGCGGCACGAGAGAUAGACGGAGGACCCACAAGAAGAAGGAUGCUAAUGAUGUUCCAAGUGUUGACGGUUCUCUGGCCCCAGGAGACAGCCUGGAAGACAUCCCUAGAUGCUGAGAAUCCUCGUCAAGAACGACUCUUCACUGCCAAAGUCAACCACUUCACUCUCAGCAACGGCUGUCAUUUCCAUGUUUAAGAUGCACACUUUGCCUAUAGAAGCAUUCACAACAUAGUCUCUCCUCCAUUGUAG
ensembl:lincRNA